rnacentral:RNase_P_RNA from 1 species
UGACCAAGUGGGGCAAUCGCGCCGUAUGGUGCCGAAAGGUAUUACGGUGAGGAAAGUCCGGGCAUCACAGAGCAGGAUAGCGGAUAACGUCCGCCCGAGGCGACUCGCGGGAAAGUGCAACAGAAAUAAACCGCCGUUUUUACGGUAAGGAUGGAAAGGCGAGGUAAGAGCUCACCCACUUCUAUGGCAACAUAGAUUUGCUGUAAACCCUAUCCGAUGCAACACCUUGAUUUCGGUACACGUACCGAGGGCUGCUCGCAUAUUUUCAUGGUGGCAGAGCCGCAAGGCUUGAACUGUGGGGUGACCCUCAGUGAAGAUAGAUGAUUGCCGCGCGCAAGCGUACAGAACCCGGCUUACAAGCUCGGUCAUUUU